rnacentral:rRNA from 1 species
ACAGUGGGCUCCUGGCACGCCUAAUACGUGCAAGUCGAGGGAGAAGUUGCUUUCGGGCAGCAGGAACCGGCGAACGGGUGCGUAACACGUAUGCAACCUACCUAUAACUGGGGGAUAGCCCGAAGAAAUUCGGAUUAAUACCCUAUAAUAUUUACUACUCGCAUGAGUUGGUAUCUUAAAACUCCGGUGGUUAUAGAUGGGCAUGCGGCCUAUUAGUUUGUUGGUGAGGUAACGGCUCACCAAGACUACGAUAGGUAGGGGUUCUGAGAGGAUGAUCCCCCACACUGGUACUGAGACACGGACCAGACUCCUACGGGAGGCAGCAGUAGGGAAUAUUGGUCAAUGGACGCAAGUCUGAACCAGCCAUGCCGCGUGCAGGAAGACGGCCCUAUGGGUUGUAAACUGCUUUUAUA